GACGAACCGUGCGAACGUUGUUCGGAAUCACUGGGCUUAAAGGGCGCGUAGGCGGACCCCCAAGUCCGGGGUGAAAUCCUCCGGCUUAACCGGAGAAUUGCCUGGGAUACUGGGGGUCUUGAGGGAGGUAGGGGCACGCGGAACUUCCGGUGGAGCGGUGAAAUGCGUUGAUAUCAUCUGGAAUACCGGAGGCGAAGGCGGCUCACUGGGGGUUUUCUGACGCUGAGGAACGAAAGCCAGGGUAGCGAACGGG
rnacentral:rRNA from 1 species